GCCAAAAUACAUGGUAUAGAAAGCAAACUACAACUUUGACAAUACAGAUGUCGUGUAGAAUACGACAAUACAACUGUGAGUUUGAAUACAAAUAUUGUCUUCUAGACAAUAUACACACCCAAAUAAGUCCUCAUUAAUUAUUCAUACACUAUUUUACAGAAAUAGUGAGGACAGCUAAAACAUCUUCCUAGAGCCAUCACUCCAUACCCCGACUCGAUCCUGCUAUGUUCUCACCUCCUGAGAAGAAAAAUGGAACAAAAAGGAAAAGGGUGAGCUCAACUAGCCCAGUAAAGAAUAUUAUGACUAAGAUAAUAUACAACAAAUUAUCGUUAGUCUUCAACAGGGAAAAAUCUAAUAGAAUACAAUAGACAACAAGUUUUAGAUCAACAAAUGCAGCGGAAACAGCAAUCCAUUAGAAGAGUCACGUAGAGAAAGAAUUCUACUGUCUUCUAAGGUUUAAAAGUCCAUCAUCAAUAGUUUAUCCCUGUAAUAACAAUCAAUAUACAUCUUUAAUCAUCUUUGCACUACAGGCCAAAGAUAUUCAUUUGUAUCACCAGUUGGUCAUGUUCAUCUCAACACCUGUUCAUCUUUGCACUACAGGCCAAAGAUAUUCAUCAGUUAAUCGUUCAUCUUUGCACUACAGGCCAAAGAUAUUCAUUUAUAUCACCAUUUAGGACUGAGGAUGAUGAAAAACAUUUUUAAAGAAACGAAUCCAGUGAAACAAAAUGACAAGGAUUAAGGAUUAAGGAUUCGUACUUUGUUUUACCCAUGUCCAAAAAUACUUCGAAAAUAAUCAUAUUGGUGUAAAAUUCAAGAAUGAUCAAAACAUGGAUACAAUCAAAGCUAGUAUCCAGAAUAGAUAUUUUGGACAAAAAGAAAAAUUUUUAUUUUUCGGUGAAUAGUGCCGUAUUCGUGAAUAGUGUCGUAUACGUGAAUAGUGCCGUAUACGUGAAUAGUAACCCCGACACAACAAGUUCCAAAUUUGAUAAAAAAGUUCACCAAUACUUCGGCAUAAUGAUAUUGAAGAAAAAAUAUCAUUUAAGAAGAAAAUAAUACCCCUUACCUCAAAAUAACCGUACUUCUGACUGAAUUUCGGUAUAGUGCUGACAGAAACCCGCACCGUAUAGCAACACUCAAAGUAUACUCACAAGAAUACGCUCGAUAAUUUAGAGAGAGAAAGAGAGAAAACUUA
rnacentral:lncRNA from 1 species